UCCAAACUCAAAGAUAAAUUUUGACAAAAAUAUGUGCGUCAUUUAUUAGCAUUGAGUAUUAUUUUAAGUUGAGCGAUUUGUUUCUCUCUGUUUUUUUUUAAUAACAUCUUUCUCUUAUUUUUCAAACAAAAAUGUGUGCGUCAUUUAUCACUAGCGUAUUAGUGUAAGGGUGUGUUUAGAUUA